ACGAACAUCAAAAUUUCAAAUUUUGCAAGAUGAAAGAUACGUCAAAGAAUUCAUUCAUAUUAGCAUUCUUAUUUGUAAUUCUCGCAACAGAAGUUUAUUAUGGUUAUUCAUCUUCAAUGGAAACAAACAGAAAAGAUGGUGUUAUAGUUGUAUGUCCAUGCAAAACAAAGAAGGAUUGUCUUCGCAAUAUUCGCUCUUUACCAUGCGGUCCGUCAGUAGUUUUUUGUUACGAAGGGUAUUGUCGUUGUAAUCAUAUAAACCAGGAACCAGGUAAUUUGUUUCCGAGAGAGGCAA